rnacentral:rRNA from 1 species
UUGGAAAGAUUUUUCGGUCUGGGAUGGGCUCGCGGCCUAUCAGCUUGUUGGUGAGGUAAUGGCUCACCAAGGCGUCGACGGGUAGCCGGCCUGAGAGGGUGACCGGCCACACUGGGACUGAGACACGGCCCAGACUCCUACGGGAGGCAGCAGUGGGGAAUAUUGCACAAUGGGCGAAAGCCUGAUGCAGCAACGCCGCGUGAGGGAUGACGGCCUUCGGGUUGUAAACCUCUUUUAGCAGGGAAGAAGCGAAAGUGACGGUACCUGCAGAAAAAGCGCCGGCUAACUACGUGCCAGCAGCCGCGGUAAUACGUAGGGCGCAAGCGUUAUCCGGAAUUAUUGGGCGUAAAGAGCUCGUAGGCGGUUUGUCGCGUCUGCUGUGAAAUCCCGAGGCUCAACCUCGGGCCUGCAGUGGGUACGGGCAGACUAGAGUGCGGUAGGGGAGAUUGGAAUUCCUGGUGUAGCGGUGGAAUGCGCAGAUAUCAGGAGGAACACCGAUGGCGAAGGCAGAUCUCUGGGCCGUAACUGACGCUGAGGAGCGAAAGGGUGGGGAGCAAACAGGCUUAGAUACCCUGGUAGUCCACCCCGUAAACGUUGGGAACUAGUUGUGGGG